rnacentral:rRNA from 1 species
GGCCGCGGGAAUUCGAUUAGAGUUUGAUCCUGGCUCAGGACCAACGCUGGCGGCGUGCUUAACACAUGCAAGUCGAACGAAGAGCGAUGGAAGCUUGCU